rnacentral:lncRNA from 1 species
CUAACGAUCCAAAGCAUCCAUCUAUGACUAACUCGUAAUUUAUGUUUUAGAUGUAUCACAACUCAGUUGGGAUUAGUCACUACCUUGCAACCUUUUGGGUUUUAAGCAUCGUUAUAUUCUAAACAGUUAACACUACCAUAUCAUAUCUACUAUAGAGAUAAUCAAUUAGAUUACAAUGAUCUAAUCAUUCAUUAAUAAAGAACAAAGUUUUGUCAAACAAAACAUUCAUCCAUUUCUCAUACGGAAUUAUGUUCCUUUAUUCAAAUUGGAAUGUAAAGACAAUCUUUGUUUUUCCAUUUUCUUUGGUAGUUCACAUGAGGAAGUAAGUACUACCUGCUUUCGCAGAGAUCUACAUUUGAUUCACAUUCCGAAUGUGAAGUACUUUCUCUUCUCUCAUUAAUCUUCUACUUCUUAUUAGCCACACUUUUACAACGAUUGUAAAACAUAGUUACUAAUACGGAAUCAAGCAUUCAAGUAGAAGAACCAACUGUUUUGAAUUAUUCAAGAACAAUUUACAACACCUUCGAAAGGUGUGUUCUUGACACUUGCAAGACAUUUCUUGCAAAUACCCCUUCCAAUGUCCAUCCUUUCAUAAAGAAAGUUUGUUCCGUUGGAGUUAUUUCUCCUUCUUCAUUUGACUUCUCCUUUGACUACAAUAGUCAUGGUCCCUAUCCCACUAUCUCUCUUGAAACUUAUUUCAAUUGUGUUAUAUACAUCAAACAAUUUGGAGAGCGUGUGGUUAUUGUUCACUAUAUAGUUUACAAUAAACUUAGUGAACCAUUUGGAUAGGGACACAAAAGUGAAGUCCUUCCCUAGUUUCCAUCUCUAGAAGUGGUUUAACACUUCAACACUUCAACACUCAAUGAUUCAAAAUCAUCAUAAGUCCAUGUUGAUGGACUAUUUUUGUCAACCAACCAUUAUGUUCUAAACAAAAUUACAAACAUUCAAGAGUUGUUCAAGGCAACUCUCAUUUCUUCAUACAACAAUUUGUAAGUGAAGAAUCAUGGCACAUAAAG